AGAGAGAGAGAGGAGGAGAGGUGUGUGAUCUAUCCAGGUCUUGCCUUUUGACCUCCCCGUACUGUUGAAUACUCUCAUAUUCGAAGUUUCACAGCUUGAUUUCGUAUAUUCCUAAUUUCGAAAGCUAUCCAGGUCUACGAAUUGGCGCUGCUUCUGCGCGCCUGAGUUAUCUGUGUUGUCAACGGCAGCAAGGGAUUCUUGCAUGGAAUGGCUUUUCUGUUCCGAGGUCUGUAGGGCGGGCCCCAAACAACACGAGGCACUGGGGUCAGGCAUGCUUACUCAAUGGACAACACUGAGGUCUCAUGAUCUGUCGCUCCCCCUGCCCACUCCGGACAUCUUACGGUUUUCUUUGGAUUCAGACGAGGACCGGUGAAAGGCUUCCAAGAUUGGGCUGGAGCUGGUGGGAUCUGGGGCCAACCUCGUCCGGCGAGAUACCCCUGACGAGCGUAGGAGGGUUGAGACUGUCAAACUGUCGGUCUUCGAUGUUGAAUGCUGAAUCCACCACGAGAGCGAAAACCCAAAUGAAAAUGUUUGCGACGACGUUUGCCAUGAUGCGAGUUGCCCGUACCCAUCUCUACGCUCUCUCUGUAGUUUGUCAGGUUUAAUCAAAAUGGACUGUGAAGUAUGGAUGCCGAAAUACAGUCGAAAGAUUCUGCGGGACAAAUACUGUCGAAAUAUCACGUCGGACUGGAAGGCCAGGGAAUGGCUCGGAUAGUACCAAGACAACUGCAAAGAUCCGAGCGCUCGUCUUCCGAAGCAAUUGCGUCGCUCUCUCGCUCACGCGGCAUGGUUCUGACUCCCGGUAAAGACAGGAAACGACGCUAAUACAGAAGAGGCCAUCUCGUGGAAGACCUCUGCCGACGUCCAACAUUCUGACCGGUGUGAGACUCUCUCCUCCUCGCUGCUGUCCUACGCCUCGGUAGGCUUAUCUUCUUCAAGAACGUAUUCAUGCCAUUUGGAGCUCUUCAAGC
rnacentral:lncRNA from 1 species